rnacentral:rRNA from 1 species
GAGUUUGAUCAUGGCUCAGGAUGAACGCUAGCGACAGGCCUAACACAUGCAAGUCGAGGGGCAGCACGGUGUAGCAAUACACGGGUGGCGACCGGCGCACGGGUGAGUAACGCGUAUGCAACCUGCCUACUACAAGGGGAUAACCCGUUGAAAGACGGACUAAUACCCUAUAACACAGGGAAUCCGCAUGGAUAUAUUUGUUAAAGAUUUAUCGGUAGCAGAUGGGCAUGCGUUCCAUUAGCUUGUUGGUGAGGUAACGGCUCACCAAGGCAACGAUGGAUAGGGGAACUGAGAGGUUGAUCCCCCAGAGUGGAA